rnacentral:rRNA from 1 species
UACGGAGGAGGCAAGCGUUAUCCGGAAUUAUUGGGCGUAAAGCGUCCGCAGGUGGCACUUCAAGUCUGUCGUCAAAGACUGGGGCUUAACCCUGGAAAGGCGGUGGAAACUGAAGCGCUAGAGUGCGGUAGGGGUAGAGGGAAUUCCCGGUGUAGCGGUGAAAUGCGUAGAGAUCGGGAAGAACAUCGGUGGCGGAAGCGCUCUACUGGACCGCAACUGACACUCAGGGACGAAAGCUAGGGGAGCGAAUGGG